rnacentral:lncRNA from 10 species
CACACGUUAGGGUUGCACAAGAGGUGAUCAACAUAUCCCACCGCGAAGAGGAAAGCAGCAUUAACCUGGAACAUUUGAAUCCUGGGGCAGACAGGUAAAUGUCUUUGGAGAUGGGAGGAGAUAAGGUCAUAGAGGUAAGGAAUUGAGAAGUGAAUUAAGGAAAGAACUGUCAGGAACAACUGCAGGAGAGGAUGGCAUGAGGAAGAGAAAUUGGCAGAGCAGGGGGUCACUGUGAUACAAAGAAUCUGAGGCCAACACAGGGGCUCUGAAGAGAGCAGCAAACUAUAAAAAAGUUUAUAGCCAGUGAAGGGGACAAGGCCAAAGAUGCAAGAGACAGAAGGCAUUCCCAACAGGGUGUGAGGUUCAGGUGGGACAAGAAGGAGGCAGGCUCAGAGACGCAGAGGGGGGGAUUCCUUUAGACAGGAGGUGGAGCUGUUUUCUUAGAAAGGGCGAAACUACCAAAGAUAAAAUCUGCAGAGAGUAAGGAAAGAAGUUGGUGGAACUGAGGCCCGAUGGCUUUGGACCAAUUCAGAAAACCAAGAGGCAAACUCAGCUUAUGACUUUCUUAAAGCACUGAGUUCCUGAAAAAGUGCCAAACUGAAUGGUGCAGUCCUGCCGAAAGAGACCCUGCGCUGUGCUGUGUUCUCAAAGGAAGGAAUGUGUUUCACAUCUCUACACCUCUGCAACUUGGGACAGUGUAGCUUUCCUAUUUUCUGGCACCCAAAAAGGGACAGCUGAUACACCCCACUCACUCCAGACUCUGCAGAUGAGAUCUGGGACAACUGACAAAAAGCUGGAGACAGGUAA